UUCGGGGUACACGAGCGGCGAACGGGUGAGUAACACGUGAGUAACCUGCCCCUGACUCUGGGAUAAGCGGUCGCCGUCUAAUACCGGAUACGACCUUCCGCCUCAUGGUGGAGGGUGGAAAGUUUUUUCGGUCAGGGAUGGGCUCGCGGCCUAUCAGCUUGUUGGUGGGGUAACGGCCUACCAAGGCGAUUACGGGUAGCCGGCCUGAGAGGGCGACCGGCCACACUGGGACUGAGACACGGCCCCCUGCGGGAGGCAGCAGUGGGGAAUAUUGCGCAAUGGGCGAAAGCCUGACGCAGCGACGCCGCGUGGGGGAUGACGGCCUUCGGGUUGUAAACCUCUUUUACCACCAACGCAGGCUCCGGGUUUUCUCGGGGUUGACGGUAGGUGGGGAAUAAGGACCGGCUAACUACGUGCCAGCAGCCGCGUACGUAGGGUCCGAGCGUUGUCCGGAAUUAUUGGGCGUAAAGAGCUCGUAGGCGGCGUGUCGCGUCUGCUGUGAAAGACCGGGGCUUAACUCCGGUUUCUGCAGUGGAUACGGGCAUGCUAGAGGUAGGUAGGGGAGACUGGAAUUCCUGGUGUAGCGGUGAAAUCAGAUAUCAGGAGGAACACCGGUGGCGAAGGCGGGUCUCUGGGCCUUACCUGACGCUGAGGAGCGAAAGCAUGGGGAGCGAACAGGAUUAGAUACCCUGGUAGUCCAUGCCGUAAACGUUGGGCGCUAGGUGUGGGGGACUUUCCACGGUUUCCGCGCCGUAGCUAACGCAGCGCCCCGCCUGGGGGAGUACGGCCGCAAGGCUAAAACUCAAAGGAAUUGACGGGGGCCCGCACAAGCGGCGGAGCAUGUUGCUUAAUUCGACGCAACGCGAAGAACCUUACCAAGGUUUGACAUCACCCGUGGACCUGUAGAGAUACAGGGUCAUUUAGUUGGGAGGUGGUGCAUGGCUGUCGUCAGCUCGUGUCGUGAGAUGUUGGGUUAAGUCCCGCAACGAGCGCAACCCUUGUUCCAUGUUGCCAGCACGUAAUGGUGGGGACUCAUGGGAGACUGCCGGGGUCAACUCGGAGGAAGGUGGGGACGACGUCAAGUCAUCAUGCCCCUUUUGGGCUGCAAACAUGCUACAAUGGCCGGUACAAUGGGCGUGCGAUACCGUAAGGUGGAGCGAAUCCCUUAAAGCCGGUCUCAGUUCGGAUUGGGGUCUGCAACUCGACCCCAUGAAGGUGGAGUCGCUAUAAUCGCGGAUCAGCAACGCCGCGGUGAAUACGUGGGCCUUGUACACACCGCCCGUCACGUCAUGAAAGUCGGCAACACCCGAAACUUGCGGCCUAACCC
rnacentral:rRNA from 1 species